UACGAAGGGGGCGAGCGUUGUUCGGAAUUACUGGGCGUAAAGCGCACGUAGGCGGACUAUUAAGUCAGGGGUGAAAUCCCGGAGCUCAACCCCGGAACUGCCUUUGAUACUGGUAGUCUCGAGUCCGGAAGAGGUGAGUGGAAUUCCGAGUGUAGAGGUGAAAUUCGUAGAUAUUCGGAGGAACACCAGUGGCGAAGGCGGCUCACUGGUCCGGUACUGACGCUGAGGUGCGAAAGCGUGGGGAGCAAACAGG
rnacentral:rRNA from 1 species